UGCCUGUGGCAACUUAGAAUUGUGCGGACGAUUUUGGUUUUUACCAUAGCUCGCAAAUAACUGUUGACACUUUUUCGUUGUCUGCAAAUAAGUGUCUUUCACGCACUUAAU